AAAAAGUAUUUACAGUAAGUGAGAAUGCAUCUGACAAGGACAAUCUCCUGUUGUGUGCUACAUUUGUUAAAAGGGAAACUCCAGACUAUAUCAGGACC